rnacentral:rRNA from 1 species
CCUACGGGAGGCAGCAGUGAGGAAUAUUGGUCAAUGGGCGAGAGCCUGAACCAGCCAAGUCGCGUGAGGGAGUACUGCCCUAUGGGUUGUAAACCUCUUUUGUCGGGGAGCAAAAGCCGGACGUGUCCGGCUGUGAGAGUACCCGAAGAAAAAGCAUCGGCUAACUCCGUGCCCGCAGCCGCGGUAAUACGGAGGAUGCGAGGGUUAUCCGGAUUUAUUGGGUUUAAAGGGGGCGCAGGCGGAUUUUUAAGGCGGCGGUCAAGUCGUGGGGCUCAACCCCAUCCAGCCGUGGAAAUUGGGGAUCUAGAGUGUGCGAGAGGUAUGCGGAAUGCGUGGUGUAGCGGUGAAAUGCGUAGAUAUCACGCAGAACACCGAUUGCGAAGGCAGCUUACUGGUGCACAACUGACGCUGAGGCACGAAAGCGUGGGUAUCGAACAGGAUUAGAUACCCCUGUAGUC